UAAGCUCUGGUAGCAGUUUAAAUGUUUGCAGACUAUUGAAUCCAAGAAUUUUGUUAUUUAAGUUUACUGGAAUACAAUGAAAGAGACUUAGACCACCUAUUAAUAUAUUUAUAAUAUAUUUUCCUCUCAAGAUUUGGGAACUAAAUGAUACUCUUCUCCUGAAAACAAUAUUUGCCCAGCUCUUAUACCCAAGAACUUGCCAGUCAAGAUGAAAAACAACUUCUAAUGGAAUCCAGCUUGAAAGCAACUCAAGAGCAGCUAAGUGAGCAAAUAGCAGAAACAGUUUGCCAAGAACAGAACAGUAGAAAACCAGAGUCGAAGAGCUGGAGACCCUGAGAAAGCGUACUAUGACUUCUGAAGAAGAAAUUAGUGAUUACAAAGACAUGAUGGUGUGCACCAUAUGGAGCUACAACUAAGGCAGAAAUUCUCCCAUCCAUCACAAAAGGUUGAUUUUGUUUACCGUCGUCAAACUUAUUAUUGAAUGAUUCCCAUUUUGUUUAAAAUAUCAAGAAAAGGGUGGAGGACUUUAAGACUCUAUGGUUAUGACUGGGAAAAGCUGAAUUGAUUGCAACGGAAAUCUACCUGACACUGGGCCAAAAAUUUUCAGAGCCCUACAGCUCUUGGAAUUUCUUCUAAUUUCUCCCACCAUUAUGGAUUUAUAAGUGAGCAAUUUCAUAUUUAAUUGCAAAAUAAGUGGAGGCAUGUGUCUGGAAGAUGGGGAGAAUGGCAUAUUCAAUUUCCUUGUGGCACAUAUUAAAUUUUUAAGAACAUAUUUGCCUAGGCUUCUGCUGGAUUUAGUCAGACUUCAACUAGCAGGUCAAAUACAACUGAAGAAAUGUCUUGGGCUUGCUAAAUUGACUUUGUACCACACAAGGCUCCAUUCAGGUACUGGAAGGCCACAAUUAGGUC